GACGAACCGAGCGAACGUUAUUCGGAAUCACUGGGCUUAAAGGGCGCGUAGGCGGAUCAAAAAGUCAGGGGUGAAAUCCCACGGCUCAACCGUGGAAGUGCCUUUGAUACUGUUGAUCUCGAGGGAGGUAGGGGCGUGCGGAACUUCCGGUGGAGCGGUGAAAUGCGUAGAUAUCGGAAGGAACACCGGUGGCGAAAGCGGCGCGCUGGACCUCUACUGACGCUGAGGCGCGAAAGCCAGGGGAGCAAACGGG
rnacentral:rRNA from 1 species